rnacentral:rRNA from 1 species
GACGAACGCUGGCGGCGUGCUUAACACAUGCAAGUCGAACGGAAAGGCCCUGCUUUUGUGGGGUGCUCGAGUGGCGAACGGGUGAGUAACACGUGAGUAACCUGCCCUUGACUUUGGGAUAACUUCAGGAAACUGGGGCUAAUACCGGAUAGGAGCUCCUGCUGCAUGGUGGGGGUUGGAAAGUUUCGGCGGUUGGGGAUGGACUCGCGGCUUAUCAGCUUGUUGGUGGGGUAGUGGCUUACCAAGGCUUUGACGGGUAGCCGGCCUGAGAGGGUGACCGGCCACAUUGGGACUGAGAUACGGCCCAGACUCCUACGGGAGGCAACAGUGGGGGAUAUUGCACAAUGGGCGGAAGCCUGAUGCAGCAACGCCGCGUGCGGGAUGACGGCCUUCGGGUUGUAAACCGCUUUCGCCUGUGACGAAGCGUGAGUGACGGUAAUGGGUAAAGAAGCACCGGCUAACUACGUG